AAGAAAGAAGAAAAAAAAAAAAAAAAAAAAAAGAAAGAAAGAUGAAAUG
rnacentral:ribozyme from 11 species